AUCAGCAACGGCAUUAGAUUCUGCAUUAUGUGCUCUGGAAACUGUAUAACAUGAUACAGGUGAGAGGAGCCACCAUCACCUACAUGAGUUUUGUCCCUAAUGGCACCAGAGUGAAAAACAAAAGAAGGCAUAAUCAUCGUCAUCAUCAUCAGGCACUGUUCCACCACUUUACCUGCAUUAACAUGCCCGAUCCUCCUAACAAAUCUACAAGGUUUCAGCCAAUUCUUAACAUCUCUGGGUUUCAAUUUCCUCCUCUGUACGAUGCAGAUAAGAACAGCACCAUCUCACAGGGUUGCUGCAAAGACUGGAUGAGCUAAUACAGCUUGCCAACUCCCCGUUCCAAGCUAAGUAUGGUAUUCUGCCCACUGGAGCUGCUGCCCAGCCUUCCCCAGGCCCUGCCGCCUCCUGCCCCCUCCCUGCCCCCCACACUAACUCGCUCAAGGUCUAACUUCUAAGAUGAGACAUUUCUCCACAUGUCCUCACAUGCCCACACUGCCUGGAUGGAGCAACCUGUCCUGGAAUAAAUGUGAAAAGAUGCAGCCCACGGGGCUAUUGUGAGCAUGUAAUGAACGAGGCCACGGCAUGGGCUAAAUAUUUCCUGAAAGUGGGGAGGAAAGUUUGAA